CCCAGUGCCGUGAGAAGUGCCUCUGGGCCCAUGUGUCCAUACAUCGUACAUACGUAUAUCUCUCUUUUGGGAGUCAUUCGAAAGGACUCGAGCUACUUAAGGAUACUUAAGAUUCUCCGAAGGAUACACCCACGUCCAAAUGCAUACAUUCAUAGAAUUCUUGGGGUGUACGAGGGGAGGCAUUUUUCGAGGACGUAAGGUGCGAGAGAUGUGUGCGCGACCCUCUCUCAAGUUCUCUCUCUCUCUCUUCUCUCUCAAUACAAGCCGACAAAAAUCGAUUGCCGAUUCUAGUUUGGAUUUCCAAAGGAGUUACGACGAACGGACUCUAUUUCAGCAGAAGGAAGGAAUAUAUUUAAGGAUCGUGGGACAGCGCUCUGGCCGGCGUUCAAAUCACCGUCUAGACGCUACUUUAAACUGUUUAAUGACAUCCCUCGCGAGCCCUUUUACAACUUUCAUGGAAGGUCUACGGAGAAUCCGGAUGCUCGUUGCCAAAGAGGAUUAUUAGUUAAAGUACCGUUAGAAAAUUGUACCAGAAAUUCUCCUGGAGAAUUUGAAAACUAAACAGUAGAAGAGAUCCCCAUGGCACUUAUAAAGCACUGUAUCACAACGGGUGUAAUCGAGUAUCCCGCUGAGUUCCUGAAUCCAGAGUGUGUCAAGUAAAAGAUUAUUGGGCAAGUCCCAAAAGGAAUCAAAGGAGACAAAGUGAUUGGUCAAGUUCGAUAAAAAUGAAAAAUUCACAAGAGGAUAUCCUGGUAGUCCAAGGGAGACGUUUUCCUCAACUAUUCACAGUCACCCUUUGCUUUCUAUUAUUUUUUUGAUAAAAAAUUCUCUUUGAUAAGGAAACAAUGUAAUGAUAAGGCCAGCCGGCUUAACGCGACAGUGUAACCGCAGUGUGUGUGUAACGAUGUCCGAAUGUUGCGAGCGCGAUUCGCGGCCUUCCUUCCCCACCGAAUGGAAGCGGACUUUGGGCCCGUUCACGAUGCCCGGUCGUCUCGGGCAAAAGACCACGAAGGCCUCGACGCAAGCGCAGCCGCAAACGGACCCAGUGAAAGAACUCUCUUCAGGGACCUAUUCCGUGGUUGAUGGUGUGGUGGCUCACCUGUUGAGGCUCCUAGGUGACUCCGGGUACUAAACAGCUCAGGUGGCAGCACCUUGCCUGAAUCAUCAUCUACCUGUUCUCUGGGAUCCACCCUCUGUAUGUAACAGCUACAGGUGCUUUCAAAUAUGCUUGGAUGGAUUGGCUUUUGGGUGGGAGGUAGUCUGGUGUAUCAGGACUGCGUUGACUACCUGGACACUAUUUUUCAUGACUUGGAUACCUGCAGUUUGUUUAAUUGAUGACUAGCAUUUGGAUGCUACGUCAGGUAGUAUUCUUGGGACUGCCAAACUACGUGAGUGCCAAUGACGUAACUGUAGGUAUAGGAUGGAACUACUUCCGGAAUGCGCGAUGCGCCUCAGUGAUCAGUAACGCCAGAGAAUAGGGUGUAGAUAGUAACUUGCGUAUGCAGACAACAUACAGGUAUACCUGUUGACGUUAUAAAAAUUUUAAUGAUUUGAAAAAGGAAAGUAAAAAAUUGUUAUAAUUAUGAGGAAUAAUACCGAAGAAGACGAUGUGCGUUCUCUUGGAUUUUAUACUAAUCGUUAUGUUCAUUGGUUGAAUCAACAGAUCUGAUAUUUUAUAUAUUUUAAUCGUCGGUCAGUCUUAUCAAUGACUAUUUAGAUAGUGGAAAUUGGAUUUUUGCUACUAUUCGCAUCAUUCCAUACGACUGCUAGUAAAUUAUUUCAACUACUGGCCACAUACCCAGUAACGUCUAUUGUAUAUGCGCAGGUGUGCAUGAAUGCGUCAUUCUAGUUGUUGAUUCUGAAUUCGACGACUAAUUCAAAUCGAUUGCUUUCCGAAACGCU